ACUCAACUUCGGGGCAGGGUGUAAAUCCCGACCGGCGGUGAUAAGGCAAUCGCCUUUUAGUCCGUGACCCGCAUAAGCAUUACUCGUGCGUGCGGUGGAUCUGGUGCAAAUCCAGAGCCGACAGUAAUAGUCUGGAUGGGAGAAGUUCGAG
rnacentral:ncRNA from 14 species